rnacentral:rRNA from 1 species
AAGCGCGGAGCCGCAGGGAAACCGAGCCUUAACUGGGCGCCACAGUCACACAGCAUAGACCCGAAACCGGGUGACCUACCCAUGCCCAGGCUGAAGCUGCUGUAAAAGGCGGUGGAGGGCCGAACACACAUCCGUUGAAAAGGGUGGUGAUGAGGUGUGGGUAGCGGAGAAAUUCCAAUCGAACCCGGAGAUAGCUGGUUCUCCCCGAAAUAGUUUUAGGACUAGCCUGCCGGGAGUCUGCUGGAGGUAGAGCACUGAAUUCCUGCGGGGGCGUCAAAGCCUACCAAGGGAUAUCAAACUCCGAAUGCCAGCCAGAUGCUCCGGCGGAGUCAGACUGCACGAGAUAAGUUGGGCGGUCAAAAGGGAAACAGCCCAGACCACCGGCUAAGGUCCCAAAGUGCGUGUUAAGUGGGAAAGGAUGUGGGGAUUCGAAGACAGCUAGGAUGUUGGCUCAGAAGCAGCCAUACAUUCAAAGAGUGCGUAACAGCUCACUAGCCGAGAGUCCCUGCGCCGAAAAUGUCCGGGGCUGAAACACGACACCGAAGCCGUGGAACUAUGCCAUGCAUAGUUGGUAGGGGAGCAUUCUUAACGGGGCGAAGCUGUACCGGAAGGAGCAGUGGACUGUUAAGAAGAGAGAAUGCCGGAAUGAGUAGCGAGAGAUAGGUGGGAAUCCUAUCGGCCGAAUAUCCAAGGUUUCCAGGGUAAAGCUGAUCUGCCCUGGGUAAGUCGGGGCCUAAGGCGAGGC